rnacentral:lncRNA from 1 species
AUAAAAGUGUAUAACCACAAAUUCUGUUAAGAAGGCCAGGAAAAGAUAGGACUUACAACUACCAGUUACUGGGUAGAGGCCCAAAAACAUUCCGCUGGGGAACAACCCACUGGGAAGCACAAGAUAUCUGACAAAUAGCCGAUUCGGGAACGAUCCGAAAAGACAGACUGAAUCAAGACACGUCCUAAUGAGGAUAUAGCUCAAAUAGGAAAAUCCAUCCCAAUAUAUGUGUUGGGAGGAUACGGAAGAAACCGUCAUCCACGAGGAUAUAUCUCAG